GCCAGGUGUGGUGGUGCACAUCUGUAGUCCCACCUACUUGGGAGGCUGAGGCAGGAAGAUCGCUUGAGCUCAGGAGUUCGAGGCUGCAGUAAGCCAUGAUUGGGCUACUGCACUCCAGCCUGGGUGACAGAGUGAGAUCAUGUCUCAA
rnacentral:SRP_RNA from 2 species